rnacentral:rRNA from 1 species
AGUGAACGCUGGCGGUAGGCCUAACACAUGCAAGUCGAACGGCAGCACAGUAAGAGCUUGCUCUUACGGGUGGCGAGUGGCGGACGGGUGAGGAAUACAUCGGAAUCUACUUUUUCGUGGGGGAUAACGUAGGGAAACUUACGCUAAUACCGCAUACGACCUACGGGUGAAAGCAGGGGAUCUUCGGACCUUGCGCGAUUGAAUAAGCCGAUGUCGGAUUAGCUAGUUGGCGGGGUAAAGGCCCACCAAGGCGACGAUCCGUAGCUGGUCUGAGAGGAUGACCAGCCACACUGGAACUGAGACACGGUCCAGACUCCUACGGGAGGCAGCAGUGGGGAAUAUUGGACAAUGGGCGCAAGCCUGAUCCAGCCAUACCGCGUGGGUGAAGAAGGCCUUCGGGUUGUAAAGCCCUUUUGUUGGGAAAGAAAAGCAGCAGGUUAAUACCCCGCUGUUCUGACGGUACCCAAAGAAUAAGCACCGGCUAACUUCGUG